rnacentral:tRNA from 1 species
GCGGUCAUAGUCUAGUUUGGAUAGGACAUCAGCCUGCCACGCUGACGACCCGGGUUCAAAUCCCGGUGACCGCACCA